rnacentral:rRNA from 1 species
GAGUUUGAUCGUGGCUCAGAACGAACGCUGGCGGCAUGCCUAACACAUGCAAGUCGAACGAGACCUUCGGGUCUAGUGGCGCACGGGUGCGUAACGCGUGGGAAUCUGCCCUUGGGUACGGAAUAACUCACCGAAAGGUGUGCUAAUACCGUAUGAUGACGUAAGUCCAAAGAUUUAUCGCCUGAGGAUGACGCCCGCGUAGGAUUAGCUAGUUGGUAGGGGGUAAACGGCCCACCAAGGCGACGAUCCUUAGCUGGUCUGAGAGGAUGAUCAGCCACACUGGGACUGAGACACGGCCCAGACUCCUACGGGAGGCAGCAGUGGGGAAUAUUGGACAAUGGGCGCAAGCCUGAUCCAGCAAUGCCGCGUGAGUGAUGAAGGCCUUAGGGUUGUAAAGCUCUUUUACCCGGGAAGAUAAUGACUGUACCGGGAGAAUAAGCCCCGGCUAACUCCGUGCCAGCCGCCGCAGU